rnacentral:rRNA from 1 species
UACGUAGGGGGCAAGCGUUGUCCGGAUUUAUUGGGCGUAAAGAGCGUGUAGGCGCCAGACAGGUCCGUUGUGAAAACUCGAGGCUCAACCUCGAGAUGUCGAUGGAAACCGUCUGGCUAGAGUCCGGAAGAGGAGUGUGGAAUUCCCUGGUGUAGCGGUGAAAUGCGCAGAUAUCAGGAAGAACACCUAUGGCGAAGGCAGCACUCUGGGACGGUACUG